rnacentral:pre_miRNA from 1 species
AGCCUGCCGAUGGGUGUCUUACCAGACACGGUUAGAUCUGCGUCCUUCUGUCUAAUACUGUCUGGUAAUGCCAUCCAUCUGCGGC